rnacentral:lncRNA from 1 species
UGGCGCACGGCGAGAGAUGGAGAUGUCUGCCGCCGCCGCCGCCGCCACCGAGGCUUUGCCCAGGCAGGCGAGCAGCUCCAGGGGCGCUCCUGCUUCCUCCGGCCCGGCCGCAGCAGCCUGGCCGGGCUUCCUCCCUCUACCCCCCCUCCCCGCCUGCUGGAAGCUUUCUCUCUCCGCCUCCUCCCUGCGCCUCCAGCCUUCGCCAUAAACUUUGAACAAAAGCAGGUCGGAUUGCGGGCCAAGCGUUUGUGCAGCGCGCUCCCUCCGGGGGAAACCGCCUCCAGCCCUCGGCGCCCCAAUGAGGAGCGCGCUUGCCUCCCCUUGGCUGGCUGGCUGGCAGGAGCAACUUUCUGCCUGCCUGCCUGCUUGUCUUGCUUUCUUCCUAACAUUCAUGGCCUCCCAAACUCCUCAAUGUGCUCCCGCGGAAGGAAAGAAUGGACUCUCCAUCGGCUUCGACGUGCGCGGGAUUGCACUCAAGAAGCAGGGAAACAGCGAAGAGACCCCAGGACCCAAAUGAAGCCUGUAAAAAAGGCUGAAAACAUCCAGCAACCUCAAGGCCACAGCAGCCAGCUCUGGGUUUUCACGCUGCAUUGCAAAGUGCACUCAACCUCUUUCAACUGUUGAAUUUCUCGGGAGGGCUGCUCGAGCUGUACUGACACUUGGCUUCCCAGAAAUAGAUGCUCUGUCCUCAGCCACCACAAUUGUGAAUUGUGAAGUUGUUUGCAUUUCUCCCUCCCCCUCCAUCUGUUUAAGAUGCUUUAACACAUGUAACUGAUGAAAGAACAAGCCGGGUAUGGCUCCAGAAGACCAGGGCUCAUGGAAUAAUAGAACUGUAGAGUUAGAAGGGACCCUGAAGAUCAUCCAGCUCAACCCUCUGGAAUGCAGGAAUAUACAGCUAUCCCCAAAAACAGGAGUGCCUGGUGUGCUCUGGUCCAUGGGGUCACGAAGAGUCGGACACGACUAAACGACUAAACAACAACAACAGCUAUCCCCAGUGCUUUUUUUCUAAAAAAAAAUGUUUGGGGGGGUACUCUCAUUUUGACUCAAGAAAAUCACCAUUUUAUAGUUCAAAUUGGGAAAAAUAAAUACAGUAAAUGGAGAAAAGUACAAAGAUUCGCAAAAUGUUUUUUGGGGGGAUAUGUGUACC